rnacentral:rRNA from 1 species
GCUUGUCUCAAAGAUUAAGCCAUGCAUGUCUAAGUAUAAGCAAUUUGUACUGUGAAACUGCGAAUGGCUCAUUAAAUCAGUUAUAGUUUAUUUGAUAGUACCUUACUACUUGGAUAACCGUGGUAAUUCUAGAGCUAAUACAUGCAUUAAACCCCGACUUCUGGAAGGGGUGUAUUUAUUAGAUGGAAACCAAUGCGGGGCAACCCGGAAUAUGGUGAAUCAUAAUAACUGUCGUAUCGAGCAAUCGAAGCGCCAUACAAGUUUCUGCCCUAUCAGCUUUGGAUGGUAGGGUAUUGGCCUACCAUGGCUUUAACGGGUAACGGAGAAUUAGGGUUCGAUUCCGGAGAGGGAGCCUGAGAAAUGGCUACCACAUCCAAGGAAGGCAGCAGG